ensembl:lncRNA LINC01579 long intergenic non-protein coding RNA 1579
GGAGUCACGCGAAGUCGGAAGUACCAGCUGCGGGAAGGAGCUGCCCACUGUGCGUCUUCUCAACUUGUUGGGACAACCUUCCUGCGGAAAGGAGAGACAACCUUCCUGCAGAAAGGAGCUACCUGCUUCAGGUCUACUGAGAGCUGUUCUGCCACUCAAUAAAGCUCUUCUCCAUCUUGCUAAGCCUCCAUUUGUCCGCAAUACCUCAUCUCCCUGGACGCAGGACAAGAACUCAGGACCCGCCUGGAGGUGCCCACAGCAGAAUCCACAUGCCGUCCAUCUGGUCCAGCCUCACGCAGAGCCACAACUGUGCUGGCGCCUGGAGCUGCCAGCCCCACUGCAGCAGCCGGACUGACAUUCAGACGUGGAGCAAGUUGGACUGCAUAGGGACCCACCAGUGAGAUGGACGCUGUCUGUAAACGGGGAAAUUUAUGGAAAGAUGUCCUCCUGCAACUGCUGAAAAUGCAACAUGCUGCCCAGGUCCUGCUCAGACCACUGACAACUCAGAAGUUAAUACUCAGAGUGGAAAGCGUAGCAAAGUGUAGUACAUGAGCAAGCGUUUCAAGCCAGACGGAGUUAAUCAUCUCUGUCACUGAAUUGGAGCUCACGGUCUGCUGGACAACUGUGCUGAGUGGAAAGGAAGCCUCGAUGGCUAAGUCACUUGUCCAACCUCAGACACUGGCAGAUCCAGGAUUCAAACAGCUAGACUCCAAAUGUGUUUCCUUUAACCUCUUUUCUACCUUUUCAACUUGAUUCCACACAUCACCACUGGGAAAGCUUAGGUGAGUAAGUCAUGUGGGCUUUGGUUUUUUCAUCUGCACGAUGGAUAGACUGAGACCUUCUUCCCUCAUGCCUCUGAGGAUGACAUAAAAAACCCACAAAAUCCCUAGUCCACUUACUUGCUCACAGAUAUUUACUGAGUGAGCAUCUGAUUUCCAUCCCAUUGUCACCUUCUCCCUAGCUGUCCAGACACCCUGCUUGCCUGGCCAAUGCCACCAAAGAAUGGAACCUGCUUUUGUUCCACACUCCGUAGCCAGAAAAAAGAGACAGUUGUUCUGGCAUGUUAUUGUUUGAUUUUAUUUUACCUCAGGGAUUAAAAAAAAUGACUAUCAAUUA